CCCACCGGGCGAGGCGGGGCGGGGCGUCGCGCGCGGUGGGGGCGGGGCAUGGCGCGCUGUGCGGCGCAGGGCGGCUGGCACAAACGGCGGCGCCGGGGCCGGAGGAAAAACCUCGCCACCCUGAAGGGUCCCUUCCCAAGCCCUUAGGGACGGCGGAGGACUUGGGGACCUGCAAGCAAUCCCCGGGGCACGAGAAGAGCUCUCGCUGUUUGCCCUGCCUCACCCUGCCUCACGCCAGGCCCGGUGGCCCCCAGCUGCAUCAAGUGUAGGCGGAGGAGGGUGGCACCAUGGGCCCGGGCGGUGCCCUCCAUGCCCGGGGGAUGAAGACAUUGCUGCCAUGGACAGCCCGUGCCAGCCACAGCCCCUAAGUCAGGCUCUCCCUCAGUUACCGGGGUCUUCGUCAGAGCCCUUGGAGCCUGGCCGGGCCAGGAUGGGGGUGGAGAGUUACCUGCCCUGUCCUUUGCUCCCCUCCUACCACUGUCCAGGAGUGCCCAGUGAGGCCUCAGCAGGGAGUGGGACCCCCAGAGUCACAGCCACCUCUACCACUGCCAGCCCCCUUCGGGAGGGCUUUGGUGGGCAGGAUGGUGGUGAGCUGCGGCCGCUGCAGAGUGAAGGUGCCGCAGCGCUGGUCACCAAGGGGUGCCAGCGACUGGCAGCCCAGGGUGCCCGGCCUGAGGCCCCCAAACGGAAAUGGGCCGAGCAUGGUGGGGAUGCCCCUUCAUCCAGCAAGCGGCCCUGGGCCAGGCAAGAGAACCAGGAGGCAGAGCAGCAGGAGGGUGGUAAGAGCUGCGGCUGCAGCAGUGGCAGUGGUGAGGCCCGCGCUGGGCUGGUGGAGGAGGUGCUGCCCUCUGCGCCUGAGCGCCUGGCCCUGGACUAUAUCGUGCCCUGCAUGCGGUACUAUGGCAUCUGUGUCAAGGACAGCUUCCUGGGGGCAGCACUGGGUGGCCGCGUGCUGGCCGAGGUGGAGGCCCUCAAACGGGGUGGGCGCCUUCGAGAUGGGCAGCUGGUCAGCCAGCGGGCGAUCCCGCCGCGCAGCAUCCGUGGGGACCAGAUUGCCUGGGUGGAAGGCCAUGAGCCAGGCUGCCGAAGCAUUGGUGCCCUCAUGGCCCAUGUGGACGCCGUCAUCCGCCACUGCGCAGGGCGGCUGGGCAGCUACGUCAUCAACGGGCGCACCAAGGCCAUGGUGGCGUGUUACCCAGGCAACGGGCUCGGGUACGUAAGGCACGUUGACAAUCCCCACGGCGAUGGACGCUGCAUCACCUGUAUCUAUUACCUGAAUCAGAACUGGGACGUUAAGGUGCAUGGAGGCCUGCUGCAGAUCUUCCCUGAGGGCCGGCCGGUGGUAGCCAACAUCGAGCCACUCUUUGACCGGUUGCUCAUUUUCUGGUCUGACCGGCGGAAUCCCCACGAGGUGAAGCCAGCGUAUGCCACCAGGUACGCCAUCACUGUCUGGUAUUUUGAUGCCAAGGAGCGGGCAGCAGCCAAAGACAAGUAUCAGCUAGCAUCAGGACAGAAAGGUGUCCAAGUACCUGUAUCUCAGCCGGCUACGCCCACCUAGUGGCCGGGUACCAGAGCCGCAUGGCAGACAGCUUGCCCUGACUUCAGGAGAGCCCUGCGCUCGUGCUGGCCGCUCCUUCCCUGCCACCGCUGCUGCUUCUGACUCUGCCUCUGUCCUGCCUGGCGUGGAAGGCUCUGUCUGUUGCUGAGGACCAAGGAGCAGAAGAGACCUCUGCUGCCCCAUGAUGGGGGCUGGGGUUGUGACCGGGACCGGGGGCAGCCUUGGAGGCCACCAUUACCAACUGAGGCUGGGGGCCUGGGUCCUACCCUGUCUGGUCAUGACCCCAUUAGGUGUGGAGAGCUGGGAGGAGGCAUUGUCACUUCCCACCAGGAGGCAGGAUUUGGGGUUGCGGGAUAACUGCUUCAGUCGGCACAGUGCACGCCCUCCCGUUCUGGCUGAUCUCGGAAUACACGCUUGUGCACCCGGGCCCCGAACAGGAUCCCCAGAGUCGGUGGGCUCCCCAGAGUGGUCUCGCAGGUAGGUGUCGCGAAUGAGGGCGCGCGGUGGCACCACGCUGAUGAAGCGCUGGAUCUCAAGCAGCACUCUAUUGGUGUAGGGCAGGUGCACGUGGUCAUCCUGGCUUGGGGUGCGCGGCCGCCUUGCCACGGUGUCCAGCUCCAAUGCACCUUUUUGGGGGGCCAGGGGUGGUUGUGAGCUGCGCACUUUGGGACCCUCCAGCCAUCCCCAAACCACAGCCUCCCAUUCUGGGUCUCUCCAGCUCGAAAACCUGCUACCUCUGGGUACUUAAGUAGAUUAAGGAGCCCAUAGUGCAGGGUGGUGCUCGUGGUCUCGGUGCUGCCAAAAAAAAAAAAACGGUGUAAUUACCAACGUCUCCUCCUGGAUCCUGUUGCUGCUGUGGGCAGAGGAGACACACUGUCGUGUGCUAGGCACUUGGUGGGCAGUAUGGACAGAGUUUAGGGAGCUGGGAUCCACAUAUACCUUAGCCAUCUGGUCGAGGAAGCAAUCGAUGAAAUCGCGAGUCUCCACCGGCUGCCACAUCUGGUGUCACUGGAUUUGCUGAGAGAUGAAGACCUGCAGCUCCAAAGUUUCAGGAGAUUAGGAGGUACGGCCAGGGAGCCAGUCCAUGAGAGACGGGAAAAAUCAUCUGGAGAGAUAGGGUCUCAACAAGGGCCCUGGACGAAGCCAGUAGGCCUUAGUUUCCUUAGACUAGGGAGAUUGGACCAGGACUUUGAUACUGGAGUUUCUAGAACUCUUCCAUUCCAAGAAUCUCACUGUCCCACUCUAACGAUCCACUGUAGGUAGGUUUGCAUACUCGUGAUUUGGCAUAAGGCUGGACUCAAAAGGGAGAGACUGUGGCCAGCCCUGUCACGUGGCCCCGUCUGGAACUCAUGAUGUGGAAGGUGUCAUUGAAGAGGUUCAAGAGCAUCAGAAACUCGGGGUCCCCGUAACCAUAGUGGUUCCUGAAGACAAGAACAGAUAACAUUGAAUACAGCAUUAUCCAGUCGCCCAUGGGGUCAAGCCUGGCUCCCGGGGGUGGGAACAGGACGGUGGUCCUAACGUGUGGUCCGGCCCCCAGCCAGCUCCCUGGGCUUACUGGCUUGCUUAAAGCUACACACCUUCCACGGGCCCCACCUUGGCAGUCCAAGGGCCACACCCACACCAGGCCCUUCUGCUCUCCCGGCCAGGCCGCACCAAUGGUGGCUUGAAGCAGACCAGCCGCCGCCUCCAGGACGCGCGCCUCGAUGCUCCGCGUACCCAAUCCGAAAUCCAGCGCUCCAAGUGCAAAAUUGCGCAGUGUCCGCCAGCGCGUCCUGUUAGAAAACAAGAUUCCUGUCAGGGUGACAGGAAAAGAGGCGGGCCCAGGAGUUGGCCACGCCCCAUCCAGGAAGUGCCGGGUCACUAGCUACAUCCUUUUCUGGGCCUCCGACCCCUGCGGCCGCCCUCCUUCGCUUUGCUUUACCAGACCGCUAAGUGCCGUAUCCAUACGCUGGUCCCUCCUUUGCUGGUCUCGAUCCCUGACCUGUACCCGAAGGCUCUCGGGCUUUGAGUCUUAGGCUCUCCUCUCUUCUCGGCUGCGGGGUGAAGCUGGGUUCGAACCUGCUUUAGCGCCUCCCCGCCCUCUCUCGGCGGUGGGCACCUGGUGGGCUGGAGUCUCUGUCAGGCCCUGCCUCCAUUUUCCCACCUCUACCUUUAGGGGCCCAUCCUGGAGCAUCCCAGCCAGGACGUCCAGCGCCCGGGCCUCACCGUUAACUCGUGUGAAGGGUUCGAAGAUGGCCAUGGACCUGCGGCCGGACAAGGCAUCGGCCGGUAGCACCAACGCGUCCCGCUGCGCUGCAGAGCCGCACACACAGCGCCACUGCAGAGCGCGGGCCCAGCCACACUGCGAGCACCGGGUCCCAGCGGCCGGAGAGCACCAGCGGCCGGUGCUCAGCAGGUGCCCAUCGGGUUCCUCAUCCGAGCCCUCGCCCCCACCUCCCUCUUCCUUCAGACCCAGGAGUUCCCCCUCGCGCCAGCCCCUCAUUCCUCAGGGUCAGGAGUUCAGAUCCCCAGCUCCUUCCUCCCUGAGACUUAGGAGUCCAGGUCCCCUCUUCCUGCUUCCCGUGGGACCGAGAAGUCCUACUUCCAGCCUCCUGCACCCUCAGAGCUGGACUCCUGGACCCUCAGUACUCGGCCUCCCCGCCUUGAACCAGGAGAACAGACCUGCUUUGCUUCCUCUUCCCACAACCUGAUUUCCUGCUCUGGGCUCCUCCCUUGCGACCCAGUGUCCUGGUCCCAAGCUCGCUAGGCUCCUUUCCUAGAACUCAGGAGUCCGGGGCACUCAUCCUUCCUGUCCUUCCUCAGGAUCAUAGAGGACAAGCCCUCAGCUGUCUUCAUUCAGGAGGUGUUCUAGUCCCCAGCCCUGCCUCCAAGAAUUCAGAAUUCUGUUCCCCCAUUUCUGUGGGGUUACCUCCAGGAGUGCCCGGUCCAGGCCUCCAGACUGCAGCAGCAAGUUUCCCAGCAAUGGGAGCGGCCUGGGCCGGGGAGGUAGGGACCCCUGCAUCUGAGCGCCGCACCCACCUACCCCCACCAUGCCAGCGCCAGCACCAGAAGCCAUAACAGCAGCGCCAAGAUCCCCUGAUCAUCAUGCCUGCAGUUCUCCACGCCUGCACCCCUUCACCUUUAUUUGAUUUCCGAGGGGUCUUAGGGGUGGAGACCCGAAGUGGGAGGAGUGGACGUCUUCUGGCUGCUCAUUGUGUGUAUUCCCCAACCUGAGGUCUCCACCCUGUCCCCAGCCCUGGUGGAACUGUGCCCUGGCUCCCCUGGCUUUUGUGUGUGUGUGCCUGCCUCAGCCUGUCCUACUUAGCAACUUUGGGGCACCAGCAUUUUCAUGUUAACACACCCAGCCAACAGGUGCACCAUCCUGAGCCCUUAGCACCUUUGAGUCCAACUUACUUGGCCUGUAGGUGUAUUCCUCAAUCUCUGAGCCACCUGUGGGCCCCCUGAAUGCUAUACCCGGUCCCUCUGAUUCAUGAAUACACUCUGACCUUCAAAUGCUACUGAUACUCUCCCUCUCCUUUCUCCUUAUUUCCUUUUUAAAAAAUUUUUUUUAAUUAAAAAGGAAAAAAUAUGGAA